AAGAGCCGUUGAUGUAAUCACGCCAGAAUGCGUCGAGGUAGGUGAGCUCUGAGAAUUUUAUGUCACAGAUGAUGGAGCCCAGGUCCCGGGACUUCAGGAUGGUGUUGGCCUGGUUGAAGCGCUCAAACUGACGCUCCAAGGGGUCCUGCUUGUUGGAGAAGACAUUGCCUUGAAGCGCCGUCUCAUGCUGGCAGUACUCAGCUCGGACCCGCAGGCGGAUAUCUGAAGGAAGCGGGGAGGGCGGGUCCGGCGUUGCCGACUUCCUCCUCUUGCGCUGGCUGCUGAGGAGGGUCCUGCCACGGCCAGGCCUCUUGGUACAGAUCUGGGGUCCCGCAGAGGAGCAGCAGACCACGGGGUGGUGGGGAGGCACUGCGCAGGGAGAGGAUGGGGGUUAGGGGACACUGAACCCCCCUGCUCCCUGCCUGGGGACAUCUUGGAGGAGCUGCUCCCCCUCCCAGGCCCUGCUGAAGCUCUCAGGGCCACUUGCCCUUGCUGGUUGCACUCCAAAUCUGUGUUGGAGCGCUUCUGCUCCAUCUCCGACACCAAGCUCCAGCCCUCCCCUCCUUCCCACGCUGCUGUCACCUCCCAGUUGUCCCACCACCAUCCCAGGACGCUCGUCCCAAGGGGUGUCUGGCAGCCCCAGGAGCCUGUGCAAGCCCCCAGAGGGGAACCCCAGAUUACACCAAGAUUGAAUGGCUUCCCUGCAGUUAUGGGAAGGGAUGUCACACUCCGUGCUCGAUUGUCCCCCAAACUGUGGGGGCUUGUGGCAGCAGGGUCAGAUGUCACUUCAGCAAUGACAGAACAGUUACCACCAGUCAAAGGCAAGUCCCCGCACUCCCAGUGGGAGCAGACAAGGCAAAAGCGGGACGGUCCCAAUGAAUUCCCACAGACUGAACCCCCGAAUCCCCACAGACCAAACCCCGAGGUCUGGCAGUGGGCAUCUGCACCCACCUGAUUUAUGGGGGUGGCCGAGCCCAUGCUCUGCCUCGCUGUGAGCUCGGGGCGUCACGUAGCGAAUGGAUGUCUCCUCCAGGUACUUGUCCACCAGGUCCGGACACACUGGAAGAGAAAGGGGACACAGGUCCCUUCAGGAGGGACAGAGGGGACACAGGGAGGCCAGGGCAGGUCUUUCCCGAUGCGGCGGGUGUCAACACGUGCUUAAGCUGCUCUGCAUCCCCCCGAGCAUGGCUGCACAUCAACCAGCUGUUUCUCCAGCCAGUCCUCUCAAAAAAACUCCAUUUGGGAGCCAAGCCUUCCCAACUGCAGCCCAGGAAAGGCCCUUUCCAUUUGUUACCAUAGAUAAUCCCAACACCCAGACUCGGAACAGACCAGCAGCAUCGCACACACACAAUCCCCCGGGAGAAAUUCCAGCCAAGGCGGGCAGUGCCUCUGACACUGUGCCAGUGCCGUACCAGGUCGUACAUACCUGGCGAUCGCUCAGACCAGCCCCGCAUUCAUCCCGUGAUCCCUACUCGAGCUCCUGUGGCUCGUGUCAGUCUGAGCAAAGGUCUGGGGGAGCAGCCACUGCUCCUCCUCCUCCAUAGCCCCGGCAGAGUGGAGCCACAGGGGGACAGCGGCAGCUCCAGGCUCCCAGGAUGGACCCAGCUGCUUGAAACACUUCAGGAUAAACUGGCAUACACUCAAAAAUGUUAAGCCUACAUUAUUUACCUGACUUUAGCAGAUCAAACCUUUGAAGUAACACACUGGCAAGACACGGGGUUUUGAGGAGAGUCAAGCUGCUGAGCAGAAGCAGCUGCUGAGCAAAGAUUAUGGGGUAAAAUGAGUUAUUUUUGAGGGCCUGGACAUUUUCUGCGGGUUGUUUUUGUCCUGUUUGAUGAACUCAGAGCACUGCCCAUCCCCGCACAGAAUCCCUCCCAUCCCUGCCAGACCGAAGCCGGCCAAGGCUGCUGGUCUCCCUGGCCCCCCCGCCACUCUCCACCUUCGCCCAGCUGGCUCUGGCUGCGCCGAGCUAAUUCAGGACAGGGUUUUGCUCCUUUUCAGAGCCAUGAAUAAUGAUGAGGCAGAAGGAGACAAGACCUCCUGGCUGCUGCAGGGUCUGGAAGGACACGGGAACCAGAAACGAGCAUUAGCUCAUUAAGUCCAGAGGAGACUUCCUUUAACCAAUCAAUCCCUCCUCUUUAUAUGCAAAGCACUGCGCAUUAUAAACCACAUGUAAGGUGCCUUUCUUAAUAAAGCUUUUUGGAAUGCUA